GACGAACGCUGGCGGCGUGCUUAACACAUGCAAGUCGAACGGAAAGGCCCUGCUUUUGUGGGGUGCUCGAGUGGCGAACGGGUGAGUAACACGUGAGUAACCUGCCCUUGACUUUGGUAUAACUUCAGGAAACUGGGGCUAAUACCGGAUAGGAGCUCCUGCUGCAUGGUGGGGGUUGGAAAGUUUCGGCGGUUGGGGAUGGACUCGCGGCUUAUCAGCUUGUUGGUGGGGUAGUGGCUUACCAAGGCUUUGACGGGUAGCCGGCCUGAGAGGGUGACCGGCCACAUUGGGACUGAGAUACGGCCCAGACUCCUACGGGAGGCAGCAGUGGGGAAUAUUGCACAAUGGGCGGAAGCCUGAUGCAGCAACGCCGCGUGCGGGAUGACGGCCUUCGGGUUGUAAACCGCUUUCGCCUGUGACGAAGCGUGAGUGACGGUAAUGGGUAUAGAAGCACCGGCUAACUACGUG
rnacentral:rRNA from 1 species